AGCGAACGCUGGCGGCAGGCUUAACACAUGCAAGUCGAGCGGGCGUAGCAAUACGUCAGCGGCAGACGGGUGAGUAACGCGUGGGAACAUACCUUUUGGUUCGGAACAACUGAGGGAAACUUCAGCUAAUACCGGAUAAGCCCUUACGGGGAAAGAUUUAUCGCCGAAAGAUUGGCCCGCGUCUGAUUAACUUGUUGGUGAGGUAACGGCUCACCAAGGCGACGAUCAGUAGCUGGCUGAGAGGAUGAUCAGCCACAUUGGGACUGAGACACGGCCCAAACUCCUACGGGAGGCAGCAGUGGGGAAUAUUGGACAAUGGGCGCAAGCCUGAUCCAGCCAUGCCGCGUGAGUGAUGAAGGCCCUAGGGUUGU
rnacentral:rRNA from 1 species